rnacentral:piRNA from 1 species
UGAAAGCAUGAAGGGGUCAUGCAGAG